CCUACGGGUGGCUGCAGUGGGGAAUUUUGCACAAUGGGCGAAAGCCUGAUGCAGCAACGCCGCGUGUGUGAUGAAGGUCUUCGGAUCGUAAAGCACUUUCGACCGGGACGAACAGCCUCUGGCUAACAGUCAGGGGCCUGACGGUACCGGGAGAAGAAGCACCGGCUAACUCUGUGCCAGCAGCCGCGGUAAUACAGAGGGUGCAAGCGUGGUUCGGAAUUAUUGGGCGUAAAGCGCGUGUAGGCGGCUUGAAAGCCCUCAGCUCAACUGAGGAAGGGCGCCCGAAACUGGCGAGCUUGAGUGUCGGAGAGGAUGGCGGAAUACCCCAAGUAGAGGUGAAAUUCGUAGAUAUGGGGUGGAACACCGGUGGCGAAGGCGGCCAUCUGGACGACAACUGACGCUGAGACGCGAAAGCGUGGGGAGCAAACAGGAUUAGAUACCCGAGUAGUC
rnacentral:rRNA from 1 species